GUCAAAGAAACGGAAGCCUGGCUUUCAUCGUUAGAAACGUGUGAUCUAACCACAGAGCAUGACCUCCAAAUGAAACACCUUAUAGGGCUCAGAGAACCAGUGGAAGAGGAGAAAGAAGGAGUAUAAGAGCCAGAGGGAUGGGGGACAGCAAGAAAACAAGGCCCUGUAAACCAACGGGACUGAUGUACACAUGAACUUACAGAGACUGAGGCAUCGUGCACAGGGCUUACAUGGGUCUGCACCAGCUGGGGUCCUCUUGCUGCAAGGAGAAGCAGACACAUGCCCCGAGCCCUAACCAGAAGCAUUGAUAACCAGUCGAUGGAUAACCACUUGCAAAUGAAAACUUCGUUUUCUUCAAGGGAGUUGCACUGGGGAAACAAACGACUCUGAAGGGUAGGCUGCUUGCACUGCAGUAGUUGGUCAAACUCACUGGCAUCCUUGGGGGUUCUUGUCCCAAAAUGUUGUCAGAGCUUUGUUUUUAAUCUUAUUUUAUAUUUAAAUUUUUAUGUGUAUUUUUUCCUCUUUGUACUCUUCAGGUUCUUGGGGUAUAUACCAAGGCUUUCAGUUUCGUGUUACAGGCAACGACUGAGCGUGAGAAUGAGUGGCUCUCUGAUUCUUGUGCCCUCUCUUGGGCUCUUUUACUUGGGCUU
ensembl:lncRNA